UAUUUUAACACACUUUGCGUUUCUGGUUAGCUCUCUUAUGUAAGAGAAAAUGCUAGAGUUCAAGUAAUUACUCGGCUUUGGGAUCGUCUUACUGCUUUUCCCAAGGACACGGUUUUCCUUUUAGUUCACUACACUUCACGCAGCCUGUUCUUUACUUGGAAAAUAAUCGAAGUAUUCUUGGACGAAACAGACAGGAGAUCAAUAAAUGUGCCAAUGCCAGUAACUAUUCAGUGUCGCAAGUAAUCACCAAUUAAACCAGAGCUUUUGUCAACCCACGGAGACACUGGUAUGAGUCAAGCGGUGUUGCGGUUAUAGACAAAACAUGCCGUCUAGUAGGACAAUGUCAAACGAUUAAAUUAAGAUCGUGUUCGGAUCGUUUUAGAACUUGAUUCAACUCUGUGACGUCGGACAUUAUUUUGAUGGUGGUUUCUAGGAAAAACACCCGAUUCCAAAUUUCGGCAAAUUCUUGCACUGUUAUGUCACCCAUCUUUAGAAAACAAGAAAAUAUCUACUAAUUUGUAGGAAACUUUGAAUUAUAUCCACUUCACCGUUUCUUAGCAAUUUGUAUUCAAAUUAAUUCUUAUUAUUUCAUUAUCUGUGUAUAAAUACUGUUAUUAUGAAUUAAUGACUAGUAGCUACUUGUCUUGGAACCCUCAAGGGGUUCUUUAAUUCGAUACACUGUUACUAAUAUGUAUAACAGGAAGACCUACCGUACAGAACGCAAAUAGUUUUCAGUUCAAGUUCACGUUUUGUUUAUGUACAUUUACUCCUGUGAAAAGGAGCAAACAAACAAAAUUUUGUCGAAUGAUAAAAUGGUUUUACCGAAAAUAAAUUCUUUUGUCAAAAUUGCGUGUUUUUUUGGCUUUGAUCCUUCACAGUCCUUGGAAUAAUUUGGGGAAAGUACAUACGAGCUGAAUUCGUUCAAAUAAAUCAGAACAAUAUUUUAUUUGGGUGAACGUGUAUUUAUUUUAAAAACGUAUUUAUUUGCACAAUGUAAUUAGUACAUUAAAUAAAAGUAUUUAUUGCAAUGUUAAAUUAAACAUUGGGGUAAUAAUCUAGAAAAAUAACCGCGUGCUAGCGGUUGAAAUUGAAGUGACUACCUCAACGCUGAUUUUAUUAAAACAUCUGGGAGGAUGUUUUCGUGUGAUUGAUAUUCGAUUGCUUCCGAAUCAAAUCGUAUUAACAUUAUAUUUUACGACGUACGCAGUGUGAAGACAUCAGGAUUCAGUCGUGUUCCUUUUUACGACUCCACAUUGUAUAAUCCAACCUAAUCCCAUAAUGAGAUGUAUUUAGGUGAACAUUUAUGGCCGUGCACUUUGCCGGUCUUCGAAUUCAGCCUACGGGAGAUUGAGAACAUUGUGACGAAGUGUGAAGUAAUCGGCACCUUCGUCGUGUCCGAUAUCUUGCGUAACGAUCAAAUCAAAUGUCAACGAAGCAGCAAAAACCCUC